rnacentral:rRNA from 1 species
GACGAACCCUGGCGGCCUGCUCAACACAAGCAAGUCGAACGGAGUGGUGAACGGGUGAGUAAUACGGGGGUGAUCCGCCUCGCACUUCGGGAUAAGCCUGGGAAACUCGGUCUAAUACCGGAUAGUGCAAGAUGAGCGCGCGGCCUAUCAGCUUGUUGGUGGGGUGAUGGCCUACCAAGGCGUCGACGGGUAGACGGCCUGGGAGGGUGUACGGCCACAUUGGGACUAAGAUACGGAGCAGAGUCGUACGGGAGGCAGUGGUGGGGAGUAUUGCGCAAUCGGCGGAAGCUUGAUGAAGCGACGCCGCGUGGGGAAUGAAGGCCUAGGGGUUGGAAACGGAUUAAGACGGAGACGCGGUACCUGUAUAAGAAGCACCGGCUAACUACGUGCCAGCAGCCGCGGUAAUUC